rnacentral:rRNA from 1 species
GAUGAACGCUGGCGGCGUGCCUAAUACAUGCAAGUCGAGCGAACGGACGAGAAGCUUGCUUUUCUGAUGUUAGCGGCGGACGGGUGAGUAACACGUGGAUAACCUACCUAUAAGACUGGGAUAACUUCGGGAAACCGGAGCUAAUACCGGAUAAUAUUUUGAACCGCAUGGUUCAAAAGUGAAAGACGGUCUUGCUGUCACUUAUAGAUGGAUCCGCGCUGCAUUAGCUAGUUGGUAAGGUAACGGCUUAGCAAGGCAACGAUGCAUAGCCGACCUGAGAGGGUGAUCGGCCACACUGGAACUGAGACACGGUCCAGACUCCUACGGGAGGCAGCAGUAGGGAAUCUUCCGCAAUGGGCGAAAGCCUGACGGAGCAACGCCGCGUGAGUGAUGAAGGUCUUCGGAUCGUAAAGCUCUGUUAUUAGGGAAGAACAGAUGUGGAAGUAACUGUGCACAUCUUGACGGUACCUAAGCAGAAAGCCACGGCUAACUACGUG